GUGUGUAUUGUCUUGUGGACUGAAUAGGAUGUUUUUUUUUCUUCUUCUUGUCUUUGUUCCAUGACAUGUUAAUGCUGCACUCGUGGUUGAUUAUCCCCCCUCGGUAUCUUCUUACUUUUUACAUGAAUAUAAAUCAUGUAAUAAAAUAUUCAAUUGCACUUCAAAAAUAUAUGCCAGAAAUUAUUAUAAAUUAUUCAUAACCUAUUUAACAUUACUACGUAUAUUAAUUACUAAGCCCAUAUUUCAUUAAAA
rnacentral:lncRNA from 1 species